GAAUUUUGUACAAUGGGCGAAAGCCUGAUCCAGCAAUGCCGCGUGCAGGAUGAAGGCCUUCGGGUUGUAAACUGCUUUUGUACGGAACGAAAAGCUUUUGGUUAAUACCAUGGAGUCAUUACGGUAACGUAAGAAUAAGCACCGACUAACUACGUUCCAGCAGCCUCGGUAAUAAGGAGGGGGCAAGCGUUAAUCGGAAUUACUGGGCGUAAAGCGUGCGCAGUCGGUUUUGUAAGACAGAGGUGAAAGCCCCGGGCUCAACCUGGGAACUGCCUUUGUGACUGCAAGGCUAGAGUACGGCAGAGUGGGAUGGAAUUCCGCGUGUAGCAGUGAAAUGCGUAGAUAUGCGGAGGAACACCGAUGGCGAAGGCAACCCCCUGGGCCUGUACUGACGCUCAUGCACGAAAGCGUGGGGAGCAAACA
rnacentral:rRNA from 1 species